rnacentral:rRNA from 1 species
UUGACCUCGGAUCAGGUAGGAAUACCCGCUGAACUUAAGCAUAUCAAUAAGCGGAGGAAAAGAAACCAACAGGGAUUGCCCUAGUAACGGCGAGUGAAGCGGCAACAGCUCAAAUUUGAAAUCUGGCUCUCGGGCCCGAGUUGUAAUUUGUAGAGGAUGCUUUUGGCAAGGUGCCUUCCGAGUUCCCUGGAACGGGACGCCAUAGAGGGUGAGAGCCCCGUCUGGUUGGACACCGAGCCUCUGUAAAGCUCCUUCGACGAGUCGAGUAGUUUGGGAAUGCUGCUCUAAAUGGGAGGUAUAUGUCUUCUAAAGCUAAAUACUGGCCAGAGACCGAUAGCGCACAAGUAGAGUGAUCGAAAGAUGAAAAGCACUUUGAAAAGAGAGUUAAAAAGCACGUGAAAUUGUUGAAAGGGAAGCGCUUAUGACCAGACUUGGGCUUGGUUGAUCAUCCGGCGUUCUCGCCGGUGCACUCUUCCAGUUCAGGCCAGCAUCAGUUUGCCUCGGGGGAUAAAAGUAGCGGGAAUGUGGCUCCUCCGGGAGUGUUAUAGCCCGCUGCAUAAUACCCUGUGNNAGACUGAGNACCGCGCUUC